AGGCGUGAAAUUACGCCUGCAUGAAGCCGGAACUUGCUAGUAAUGGCAGGUCAGCAUACUGCCGUGAAUACGUUCCCGGGCCUUGUACACACCGCCCGUCACACCAUGAGAGUUGGGGAUACCCAAAGCCCGUGAGCCAACAUUAAAUGAGGCAGCGGUCUAAGGGUAGAAUCAAUGAUUGGGGUGAAGUCGUAACAAGGUACC
rnacentral:rRNA from 1 species